UACCAUGCAAGUCGAGCGGUAGAGAGAAGCUUGCUUCUCUUGAGAGCGGCGGACGGGUGAGUAAUGCCUAGGAAUCUGCCUGGUAGUGGGGGAUAACGUUCGGAAACGGACGCUAAUACCGCAUACGUCCUACGGGAGAAAGCAGGGGACCUUCGGGCCUUGCGCUAUCAGAUGAGCCUAGGUCGGAUUAGCUAGUUGGUGGGGUAAUGGCUCACCAAGGCGACGAUCCGUAACUGGUCUGAGAGGAUGAUCAGUCACACUGGAACUGAGACACGGUCCAGACUCCUACGGGAGGCAGCAGUGGGGAAUAUUGGACAAUGGGCGAAAGCCUGAUCCAGCCAUGCCGCGUGUGUGAAGAAGGUCUUCGGAUUGUAAAGCACUUUAAGUUGGGAGGAAGGGUUGUAGAUUAAUACUCUGCAAUUUUGACGUUACCGACAGAAUAAGCACCGGCUAACUCUGUGCCAGCAGCCGCGGUAAUACAGAGGGUGCAAGCGUUAAUCGGAAUUACUGGGCGUAAAGCGCGCGUAGGUGGUUUGUUAAGUUGGAUGUGAAAUCCCCGGGCUCAACCUGGGAACUGCAUUCAAAACUGACUGACUAGAGUAUGGUAGAGGGUGGUGGAAUUUCCUGUGUAGCGGUGAAAUGCGUAGAUAUAGGAAGGAACACCAGUGGCGAAGGCGACCACCUGGACUAAUACUGACACUGAGGUG
rnacentral:rRNA from 1 species